UAAACCGAGGGCUUAAAUGAGAGGAUCUGGAGAAAAAACUUCCUCUCUGUUCAAAGCUCCAUGGACUCGAGUGAUGGUGUAUGGAUUCAGUCAUAAAGUGCAGCGUAAUGGCCAGCUGAACCUGUUGGGGGCCGUGUGUUUCCCGCUGGACGCCUCUCCGUCCAACACAGGCCUCACUUCUCCACCCACAGCCAACCAGUAUCCUAGCAUCAUCAUCCCCACUGACAAAGUGCACGACAAAUUGGGCGUGUCUCCCCCUCCUGGAGCAGUGCUGGUGUUGCACUCGUUGCUUCUUGAGUUUCCAUUGGCGAUGGCCUUCGCUGAACAGCUGCUAACCUACAGUGUAGGAGAAACCAUAAAGCGCUCUGAGGAUGAGCUGGACACGGUGCCCACUUCUGUGCUCAUUCAGGUCUUGGAGCUGCUAGAACUGUACUGAGUGAGAAAACAACCGUCCUCAAGCCAAAAUCUCCAGAGAAGACCAAACCCGAUGAAAAAGACCCUGAGAAAUCUCCUGCCAAAAAUCUUGAAGUGCCAGAAGAGAAGUUUUUGACGCUGGAAGUUUUCCACAAGUUUACUCUAGACAGAGCCAAGCAGGACAUCCGCAGUGUUUGGCGGGCGAUCCUGGCCUGUGGAUAUGACCUACUCUUUGACAGGUUUGCAGGUUUUAAAAUGAUCUUUGGCUUCACCACAUCAGCGCUCACAUCACAUAUAUCACAGAAAAACAGGCAACACAAAUACAUUCAAUAUCAUCACAUAAACCACAUUAAAAACUCAAUUAUUAAUGAAAUUCUAAUGGCAGUCGGCACAAAGGACAUUUGAUACACAGUUUUCGUUACUUGGGGCAGUCUAAUACAUCUUUUUCUAGGCAAAAGCCUAGAUCCAUUGAUUCCCGACAUGCUCAAAAAGCCAGCAGAAAAUGGAGCUUUGAGAUGGACUUUGCAUUGGUGCAGUUUGUGAACCGUCUCAGCCGUCACCUGGCCAUCACUCCUGCCCGUCUGCAUACACAUGAGGUUUACCUGGUCGCCAGCAAAAAUGGCGCCGAUCCUGAGGUUGCGUGUCUGUUAGGCAAGUCCAUCUCUGUGUUAUCUUGUUCACAGAUGAAGAGUUCAGAUGCAAAAGCCUCUCAAGGGCUGUCUAUUAUUAU